GGGGCGCGGAGUUUUGCCUGACUUGUUCCCGGCUGCCUCCCCAGUGCCUAGUAUGGUGCUUGGUACACAGUAGGUGCCCAAUCAACGUUUGCUGAACAAAUGUUCCAGUGACGGGGAAAGUUCAAGUUGCCUCUCCGCCCACUGGGGCUUCCCAGGGAGGGGUCGGAGGGCAGAGGAGCUCUGCAGUCACCUCUUCUGGGUGACAGAUGCCACCAAGGGCAGGGUACAGUUCCCAGGGUAUUUUGGCAGGAGCCACCCCCAAAGGACUGUUCCUACCCGGGCAGACUGGCAAGAAGCCCAGAGUCGAUAAAGCGAGGGAGAUAAGCAGGUUCAAGAGAAAAGAGUGAGAUAGGGCAUGCUCUGGGCAGUUCCUGCGAAUUCUCUGGGCAGGUGAAGAGGGGGGUGUUCCCUCCGCCAGGGCAGCUGGAGCUGGCAAGGGCUCCCGCUUGGGCCCAGGGGAGGCGGGGGGUGGGGACUCCUGGCCUUGCUCUCUGAGAAGCAAAGGGUACAACUGGGAGCCUCACAGACUCCAGCUCCACCACUUCUGAGCUGGGUGACUUUGGGCCCGGGUUCCUCAUCUGUAAAAUGGAGAUAAUACUAACAGCAAUGUGGUAGGGUUUGGGGAGGAUAAACAGAUCAGGCGUGUAAACCGCUUAGCUGGGGUUGGCACGUACGAAGUGUCCAGGAAUCAGGAGCAGUACCACGCAGCAGCUGUGUGACCUUGGGACCAAAGUCAACCACAGCUGGGACGGACUAGGAGCAAGUGGAGAGAGGGGAGCGACCGGCCAAAGGAAUGUGUUGGAUGGAGAGGGGAAAUCUGAGGACGCUCUCCAGAGGAGGCCCUGGCAGACACCAGACCGAGGACAAAUAGGAUGAGCCUCGAGGCCGGGGCGAUGGGCACAGACACACGAAUGGAAUACGGGCUUUGGGAAUUUGGGACUACGUCCAAGAAUGGUUCCAUCCAUCCAUCCAUCCUUCCUUCCAACCAUCCAUCCAUCCAACACACAUUCAGAGACAGCCCACAGCAUGCCAGGUCCUGCACCCAGCCUCGGGGAGACUGGGUCAAAUAAGACACGAGCCUUGCCUUUAGGUGAGCCUACUGGAGAAGGAAGAUGAAAAAAAAAACACAAAAAAAACAACCCAAAAAAUGAACCCACGGCUGGCACCACCUGUGACCUAUGAUAUCUGUGCCACAGCAGCAUCUCCCAUCUGGUGGUCCGGAGAUUCUAAGGGGUACAAGGACACAGACUUCAAAGCCGGAGUCCCACAGUGAGCUGCUGCUUCUCUUUGAUCAGUCCUUCCGAUCCUGUCAGAGAGAAAGUCUUGGCUGGGUGCUCACAGGUCUCUCACACUAGCCGGUCUCCCGAUUAUAGACACAGGGUGGGCCUUGGGCCUGGAGCCCCAGGCAAGUAAUGGGAGGUGGUUCAAAUUUAACCACAUGGAUUUACUUGUCUUGUACGUACUUGUAUGGGAUCUUUAAUUUCUGGCGAAUAUAGUGGGUUGAAUGGUGACUUUCCCCUGCCCCCCCAAAAAUAGUCCCCAUCCCCACCCCCAGCACCUGGGAAGAUGACCUUAUUUGGAAAUAGGGUCUUUGGAGAUGUAAAUGAAGUUAAGGAUCUUUAGGUGAGAUCAUUAUGGAUCAGAUGGCGUCCCAAAUCCAAUGACUGGCAUCCUUCUAAGAGAAGGGAGGUUUGACGUGGGGGACAAGGGAGGACGGACCGCGUGAAGACACAGGGAGAAUGGAGUGAGACGGCCACACGUCAGGCCCGCCAGGACCGCCAGCACCACCAGGAACCAAGAGGGAGGUGGGGAACGGAUGCUCCCUCUGAGCCCCCAGAGGACACCAGCCCACCCGACCCCUUGAUCUCAGACCUCAGGUCUUCAGAACAGUGGGAACACAUUCCUGUUGUUUUGAGCCACGCAGUUUGUGGUCCUUUGUUACGGUGGCCCUGGGAAACACAUGCAGUAAGUGGUGCUGGUUAUAAGGUCAGUCAAGAGGUGAGGAAGUGGUAAUUCAGGAGUGUUGAGGCAGGCACCAUCUGGAGGGAAAUCAGGCUGAGCCAGUGGCAUGGGGCCCCGGGAGCAGGGUGGGCUAAGGGCCACGGCGCUGAGGUUCUGGGGUGGGUGAGAUGACUGGAGAAGCAGGGAGGCCUCCUGCUGCCCCCUCUGCACACUCGAGCAAAUUCCUGGGAAGCCCCAUGUGUUCCCGUCUGGGUGAUUCAGACCCAUCUUCCUUUGGGGAGAAGCGCUUCAGAUGGGGAGGGUUUUUUCCCACCGCUCUGAAGUGCCACGAGGUGUCAGGACAGGAGGGGAAGGGGCUUUCCAGCAGGCCGUGGGCCGGGAAGCCGUCUUCCCUGAAUGCGGCACCCAAGGUCAUCGGCUGGUGGGAUGCUGCCUGCCCACCCUCACCGGCUCCUCCACUUUCCAGCUGCCGUCAGAAGAUGCAGGGCCCGGCCGGCCAGGCACCUGCACCAGGGCAGACCCCCGUAGGCCUCACCUCCCAGCGGACUCCCACCAGGCGCUAGGUGGCCCCUUCUUGCCCGAGGGCACACAGUGCUCCCCGUGAAGCCCUUGAACCUGGUGCAGGUGCUUCCCAGUCUGCCUUACAGACAGGAACCAGGGACUGGAAGAGCAAAGUGACUAGUCCCAGACCACCAAACAAACCCAAGGCCUUUCCCAGCUUUGAGCCUGGGCUGGGAAGGGGGCUGGGGAAGCUGCCACAGAGGG